rnacentral:rRNA from 1 species
AGCGAACGCUGGCGGCAGGCCUAACACAUGCAAGUCGAACGAAGUCUUCGGACUUAGUGGCGGACGGGUGAGUAACACGUGGGAACGUGCCCUUAGGUUCGGAAUAACUCAGGGAAACUUGUGCUAAUACCGAAUGUGCCCUUCGGGGGAAAGAUUUAUCGCCUUUAGAGCGGCCCGCGUCUGAUUAGCUAGUUGGUGAGGUAAAGGCUCACCAAGGCGACGAUCAGUAGCUGGUCUGAGAGGAUGAUCAGCCACAUUGGGACUGAGACACGGCCCAAACUCCUACGGGAGGCAGCAGUGGGGAAUCUUGCGCAAUGGGCGAAAGCCUGACGCAGCCAUGCCGCGUGAAUGAUGAAGGUCUUAGGAUUGUAAAAUUCUUUCACCGGGGACGAUAAUGACGGUACCCGGAGAAGAAGCCCCGGCUAACUUCGUGCCAGCCGCCGCGGUAAAAC